rnacentral:tRNA from 2 species
GGCAGCAUAGCCAAGUGGUUAAGACAAAGGUCUGCAAAACCUGAAACCUCGGUUCGAAUCCGAGUGCUGCCU